rnacentral:rRNA from 1 species
AUACGUAGGGGGCGAGCGUUGUCCGGAAUGAUUGGGCGUAAAGGGCGCGUAGGCGGCCCGGUAAGUCUGGAGUGAAAGUCCUGUUUUUAAGAUGGGAAUUGCUUUGGAUACUGUCGGGCUUGAGUGCAGGAGAGGUAAGUGGAAUUCCCAGUGUAGCGGUGAAAUGCGUAGAGAUUGGGAGGAACACCAGUGGCGAAGGCGAAUUACUGUACUGUAACUGACGCGGAGGCGCUAAAGUGUGGGGAGCAAGCAGGAUUAGAUACCCUGGUAGUCCAUGCCGGAAACGGUGGGCGCUAGGUGUAUGGGUCUUCCACGACUUCUGUGCCGUAGCUAACGCAUUAAGCGCCCCGCCUGGGGAGUACGGCCGCAAGGCUAAAACUCAAAUGAAUUGACGGGG